AAAUUGAAGAGUUUGAUCAUGGCUCAGAUUGAACGCUGGCGGCAGGCCUAACACAUGCAAGUCGAACGGUAACAGGAAGCAGCUUGCUGCUUUGCUGACGAGUGGCGGACGGGUGAGUAAUGUCUGGGAAACUGCCUGAUGGAGGGGGAUAACUACUGGAAACGGUGGCUAAUACCGCAUAACGUCGCAAGACCAAAGAGGGGGACCUUCGGGCCUCUUGCCAUCAGAUGUGCCCAGAUGGGAUUAGCUUGUUGGUGAGGUAACGGCUCACCAAGGCGACGAUCCCUAGCUGGUCUGAGAGGAUGACACGCCACACUGGAACUGA
rnacentral:rRNA from 1 species